CCUACGGGAGGCAGCAGUGGGGAAUAUUGCACAAUGGGCGCAAGCCUGAUGCAGCCAUGCCGCGUGUGUGAAGAAGGCCUUCGGGUUGUAAAGCACUUUCAGCGGGGAGGAAGGCGGUGAGGUUAAUAACCUCAUCGAUUGACGUUACCCGCAGAAGAAGCACCGGCUAACUCCGUGCCAGCAGCCGCGGUAAUACGGAGGGUGCAAGCGUUAAUCGGGAUUACUGGGCGUAAAGCGCACGCAGGCGGUCUGUCGAGUCGGAUGUGAAAUCCCCGGGCUCAACCUGGGAACUGCAUUCGAAACUGGCAGGCUAGAGUCUUGUAGAGGGGGGUAGAAUGCCAGGUGGAGCGGUGAAAUGCGUAGAGAUCUGGAGGAAUACCGGUGGCGAAGGCGGCCCCCUGGACAAAGACUGACGCUCAGGUGCGAAAGCGUGGGGAGCAAACAGGAUUAGAUACCCUUGUAGUC
rnacentral:rRNA from 1 species